UUGUCAGCUUCAAACAAGUAUAAAAUUAAAUUGUUUAAAGUGUCACUUCGUAAUUCAGCUAAUUAUCCCCGUAUUUUAGUUUUACGUCGCCAUCGGAAAGGAAGCAAUUUGACCUCAGGAAACGAAAACUGAAGCAGGCCUACUGAUAAUCCCACAGUCAACACUCAAUGGGGGAUCACUGACCUGGGAGCAGUUUGGAGAGAGAGGGGGCAUUUUGGGACAUGGCCUUGACAUGAAUGGGCACCGCUGCUGUUGCUGAGUGUUGCUGCACACAGGAAGGGACCAGGGAGCCCCCUCUGCUGUAGCACUGCUGCCCUCUGGUGGACAACACUGUCACUCCAAACAGCCCAGUCCUCAGUGCAUUGAUCUGAUCUGAUGCACAUCCUUUAAACUGAUGACAUUUCUCAAUGAUUAAAAAAAGCAGUUUUCUAGGGCUCAACCAGGACAGUUGGAAUUUUUUUUCCUUUGAAAAAAUUGGGCAACUGCAAUCCCACCCAAAUUUGGAACACCCAAUUUGCGAACUUUGUCAAGUAUGCUCAUAUACCCCCUGCUGCUGGCUGGGGAGAGUGAAGACAACUCUCCUCUGAAACUGUGCCAGCCAGCUGCUUCUUUUCCCACCACUGCCACAAGCCACACAUAUGCAGAGCAGGGGCGAAGGAGACCCAGUCAUACUUAUGUGCAGAGAGCAAGCCACAGGCGCCAAGAUGGAAUAUAUGGAGUGUAUGCAAUGAACACUGCUAUCCCCGCUGACUGAAUCCCUUCCAUAUAUCCCUUGGGCUACGCGAAGCCAAUUGUACUCCACCGCUAUGGGGCAGCAUGGGCUGAAUUCAAUCUCAGACCAUGGUGCUCACUCAUACCAAGUGAGCCACCGAGCAGCCCCAGCAGUUGGAAGUAUUUACAGUUGAACACUGUGGCUGUACAUCCUCAGAAAUCAGAAGGUCUUUCCGUUUUCUACACACUUUACUUAGCUAGCAUGUGCACCCUGCUUUAUGUUCAGAGUAAAGCUGUGUACUCUGGCCUACUGUGCUAAAUGGCAGCUCCACCAGUGAGUUCUAAUAGAGCCAUCGCGAUUGUGUGGGGGCCUGGGCCAGACGUAAGGAGCUGGACCUGCUGUUUGCAGGUAGGCGGGAGAGAUUGGUUUACAUUAAUGUAUUUCACUCCGUUCCUGCGUCAGUUUCAUCUUCAUUCACCGUUUCCUCUUUGUAGUGGAAACAGUGCUCCUAAUGUCAUCUCGAAAUCCUCGCUCAUACUGAGGCAAAUGGGAGCUCACGAAGUGCCUCCAGAUGGCAACACUUUAAGAUAAUGGCCCCCGAAAUUCCUCACAAAUGAAUGAGUAAAUACCGCUAGAGCUGCACCUGAUUCCCUCACCCUUCCCACGAGAGCCAGCGCUGAUAUCACAGGGACGCGUAACCCUACUCCGCGCCGCGACCCCAGCCCUAACCUGACCAUGCAUCACGCAUGCCCUUAACACGGGAGGUCAGGAGAGGUGCCCGACACGCUGGGAUUCUGUUCGCAUGCUGUUAAGCCUUCCAUUCAUUCCCCGGAAAAAUGUGAGCGGGAUUCGAGAGUGGUGGGGGGCGGGGUGCUGGGUUGAGGUGGUGGGGGGGGGGGGGUAGGGGGCAGUUGAGGUGGGUAAUGAGGGUCCUGGUGGUCUCCAGCCCCAGUUCUAGCUCCUGGAUUCCCAGUAGGCUCCGGGGGCAGGCGUGGGGGAUCAUGUGACCUGUGACGCGGCGGCCACCCUAAUAGCAGGUCCCGCAAAAGGCUGCCGGUGUGUUGUGGUGAUUUACUGUGCCCAGGGAUGUCUGGGUGGCAUAGUUUGCCAAUAAAGCCGCGAUCUGGCUGCGUCUCCUCUCGACGAUGAGAGGACCAGCCCUCACGUGAGAGGGCCUGACCGCAAGGGGAAACCCCGUCAUUAAGGCUUUCGCCCACCCCCCCGAUUUACGAGAAAGCCUUUGAACCCUUCCCUGGUGCUCUCCGGCGAGCGAGCGCGUGCGAAUGUGUACGCCCAACUGCCGAAACGCCGUCGUUCCUUCAGAUGAGUCACAUCCCGCGGCGAGAGGCCGGCGCUCAGAUAUCUGUGUAACGUAAACAGCAGAUACGCAGACGGGCUGCCUUUGCCUGAGCGCUGCGUUUCGGCUGCGAUCUGCAGCAGCUGCGGCUUUGAAGUGCAGAAGAAAGCGGCGGCGCUCGCCGGUAGUGUCUAAUUAUCGCUUUGUUUGGUGCAUUGUGUGUGUUUUUUUUUUUUUUUACCUCCUUUCCUCAUUGUUUUCUUUAGUCAUUUCUGACCUUGAAUGGAGAGAGGCAAGGUCACGAUAGCACGCUGCAUGCUAAUUCUUCCCAGAGUUUUCUCGGCCGGGGGGUGGGGUAGGGGUGGGGGGGUUGGGUGGGGGGGUCAGGGCUCUAGGUUCUUGGUGCGUCACGUCAUUCCCCUUGCUUAUACCUGGCUUGUGUCAUAUCCUGUUAAAGGAAGCAGAGUAUUAUUCCCUGAAUUCCAGUUUUAUGAUUGAAACCAAUUCACCCCUCCACCCCCUCUUUACAUCUCUCUCUCUCUCUCCCUCUCUCUCCAUCUCUCUCUCCCUCCAUCUCUGUCUUCCUCCCUCUCUCUCUUUCCACCUCUCUCUCUCCCCUUCUCUCUCUUCCUCCCUCUCUUUCCAUCUCUCUCUCUUUCUCUCUCUCUCAAUGUCAGCCUCACAAUACAAAUGCUGGCAAGAGAUCAUGAGGUAGAAGAGUAGGAAUGUAUGGUGCUGGCACCCACAGCCACGAAACCACCAAAGUACAGUUACUUUUGUUCAGAAAACCUAUUCAGGUCAGCAUGUAUAGCAUGUGUAGUACAUUGUACGUAUUACAUGUUUGCACAGGUGGAGGUUUCCUAGACGAAAUUGAGCACAGCAGAAGUGCUGCACCCAGGAACCCUUCGAAGCUUGGCCCGCUAAUGCCACCACCACACUGUGGCCCACUCGGAGUGUUACUGGGCUUUCAGGUGAUGUCUCCUGCUAAAACAGCAAGCCUUCUUAGUUAUUAAUAGAGGAAAUAAAAGCCGCCUAUUCAUAUUUCAGUUACCCUGUAUACAUGCAUAUGUGUGCCUGUAUGAGGAAAGCAUAGGUUUGUACCAACCAGAGUAAUGAUUUCUAUACUGCAAACAGGCCCAAACUAGCUGGGACAGGACAGUACUGGGGGACCAGUUCUCCUUUACAGUCAAAGAUAAGCUGGGGGAGAGGCAGUGCUUUGCCAAAUCCACUGGGUCUGUGUUGGGAGAAGAAAAUAAACACUCCAGAAGCCAGGAAAGCAUCUUUCCGCCCAUGCAACACACUCUAAGAACUGCAUAUAUUACAGCCAAUGUGGGUGAAGCUAAGCAUCAUUCUUUCUUUAAUAUAGCUGGAAUAUCAUAUUAUUUAAUAUUGUUCCAUUUAUAGCAACAGCAUUAAACAGUAUUUCCAAGUCCCAUGGAUUGGGGAGUUUUGACCAUGUGUUCUUAUUGGUGGGUGGUUAUAUUAGCUUUUCCGAAAGAUGGAAAUUUAUAAGCUCCAGUACAUAUUGAAAGAAUUUUCUUAUUAGACUGUUUAAUUUGUUUUUGAUUUUCAAUGCAAUUUGCAUUAUCGUUGUUAUAAGUAACCCCCAGGCUGCAGAAAAUCAACUUACAUCAUUGAGGAGCGAAGUUAUUUUUAUUUUUGUGAAUUUGCAUUGCUUUCUGUCCUUGUUUAGCACACAUUUGGGAAUUAUGUAUCAAAGUGUAUUAAGCACUUGGUACUGAAUUGUUUAUUCUGUUUAAAAUGAUCUAAAUCAGUAAAGAGAGAUGUGAUAUACAGUCCUGUCAGGGCAUGAAAGCUGUUAGAUUUUUUUUUUUACAAAUCAAUGGUGCUUGUGGCAGUUAAGAAUGUCUUUGUGGUGUUUAGUAUACAGACUCACUUUUUCUGACUUGACAGAAAAUAAUUUCGUAUUUUUUAUAUUUGCCUGUACACAAGUGAACGGUUAGAACAUCAGUUACAUUUUCAGCUGCUUCUCAGCCACUCCACUGAAUAUGACUAUAUGUGAAAAACACAUUUAGCCAAAUGAGAUUGUGUGAAAUGUGUGAAAAAUGCAAAUGUAAAAAAAAGUAAAACCAGUUUUCACCACACCAUCAAUUAAUGUACAAACAAAACACGAAGUACAGAAUUAAACAUUACCUUGCUCUUUACUUUCAUGAAUGGGACUGCUGUAUUAUUUUUAACUUAAAUCUAUGGGCAUUAACAGAGAGAGCCAUGCCAUUCCAUAUUAUUAUUGAAACUGAGACUACCUCCAUGAGUGCAUAUUUUGACAAACAACAGGGACAUGGAAUUCUAACAAUUUAAAGUAUAUAUAGUUAGUACUGACACUUUAUGCUUGUGGUUUAUUGUGAACUUUCCACAGAUAUGCAAGUCAUUCUUAUGCUUGAGAUAUGUGUUGAAUGUAUCUGUACAAUGAAUGUGAGAACACCAGGCAGUGCACGAUGUGGUGGGGAGUGUUUGCCAAGGCUGCCAGUCCAAAAUGGAUCAGCCAG